rnacentral:snRNA from 1 species
CAGAGAGAAGAUUAGCAUGGCCCCUGAGCAAGGAUGACAUGCAAAUUUAUGAAGCAUUCCAUAUUUUA